rfam:Brachypodium distachyon strain Bd21 chromosome 5, whole genome shotgun sequence.
AUUUUACUCCUUCCGUCCCAUAUUAAGUGACUCAAAUUUGGCCGAAUAUGGAUAUAUCUAUGUUUAAAAAGCGUCUAGAUACAUGUAAUAGAAAGUCACUUAAUAUGGGACGGAGGGAGUACAUA